rnacentral:rRNA from 1 species
UACAGAGGGUGCGAGCGUUGUCCGGAAUCACUGGGCGUAAAGGGCGCGUAGGCGGCCUGAUAAGUCGGGGGGUGAAAUCCUGUGGCUUAGCCACAGGGCUGCCUCCGAGACUGUCGGGCUCGAGCACAGUAGAGGCAGGUGGAAUUCCCGGUGUAGCGGUGGAAUGCGUAGAGAUCGGGAGGAACACCAGUGGCGAAGGCGGCCUUCUGGACCAAUACUGACGCUCAUGCACGAAAGCGUGGGGAGCAAACAGG